GGUUUGGGUGUGUCCCCACCCAAAAUUUCAUCUUGAAUUGUAAUCCCCAUAAUCACCAUAAUCCCCAAAUGUCAAGGAAGAGACAAGGGGGAGGCAACUGAAUCAUGGAGGCGGCUUCCUCCAAGCUGUUCUCAUGAUAGUGAGUCAGUUUUCACGAGAUGUGAUGGUUUUAUAAGUGUUUGAUAGUUCCACCUGUGUUCAUUCUCCUUCCUGACACCCUGUGAAGAAGGUGCCUUGCUUCCCCUUUGCCUUCCACCACAAUGCUAAGUUUCUUGAGGCCUCCCGAGACAUGCUGAACUGUGAGUCAGUCAACUAAGCCUCUUUCCUUUAUAAAUUACCCAGUUUCAGGCAAUUCUUUAUAGCAAUGUGAAAAUGGACUAAUAUACAACUGAAGUCAUUUGGUAAAAUAAGCUUCAAGAUUCCUCUUUUCAUCUCUCACUGAAGAAAUAUACCCCUUUUCAUAAGAAAAUCUACAAAGAGUAUUUAUAAGAAAUUGGUGCAUGGCUGUGCUUCAACUCCUCAGUGCAUGAUAUGAAAGAAAAUCAGAUGAGGUUGCAAGAAAUAAAUUUUGUGUUAGACAUCAGAGACCAUUUCUUGACAGGAAAAGUUGUUUGUGAUGUGUGCAGCAUGCCAUCCAGCCUUUGGAGAAGAUGGCACCAGAGUUAUAUAUUGUGGAAAGCCCACUCUUGGUCCUACCCCAAAUAAACCCUGAUGUAAGGAAGGAAGGAAAGAAUCUGAUUGAAGCAGAGAAGAUUGACAACUCAUAUUAAACUGUAUAUGGAAGCACAAACAUUGAAGAAUAGCCAAACAUUCUUGAAGAAAAGAAACAAAUGGAGAGAACUUGUCCUUCAAAUAUCAUUUACUAUAAUAAAGCUGUAGUAAUUAAGAAGGCAUGGUUUUGGCACAGGGAUAAGCACUCAAACCAAUGAGAGAAAAUGGAAUUCUAAAAUAUGAAAAUUAUUCAAACGGGGCUGGCAUUCCUGAUUGAUGGAAAGCACAGACUAGUCAAUUAAUGCAAUAGUUGGUCAUUCAUAUGAGGAAAAAAUGAAAUUAGGUUAGCUUAUACCAUACAAAAUUCAAUCACAAAUGGAUUAAAAACCUAUAAACAAACAAAAAACUCUAUUAAAUAUUUAGAAGACACUAUGUGAGAAUAUUUUUAAAACUUGAGAUAAAUGAUUCCUUAAGGUACAAAACAGCAAAAAAUGACAACCUUUAUUAUAUAAAAAUUAAUUUGUGUUUUCCAGAAUCACAAAAAAGAAAAAAAGCAAGGUAAAAAUAGAGAAAAGAUAUUAGCAACAAAAAUUAGAUAAAAUACUAGUAUUUGGAGUAUCAAAUGGAUUCUGAGAAUCAAAGAGAAAAAAAUCAGUUUAAUAUAAUGAUAGAUAAGAGGAAUAAAUAGGAAUUUCAUAUGAGAGGAAGCACAAAUCUCAUAUAAACAUGUGAACAAGCCUUUAACAUCAUUAGUAGCCAGGGAAAAACAAGACCACACCCCAAAAAUUAAGAACAUAGACCAUUUCAUUCUCAUAAGAUGGUCAAUAGUCAAAAUUGUGCCAAAUAUAGAGCAAGGGAAGCUCCAGUCUCCUACUGGUGGGAGAGUAAAUUGAUACAAUCAUUUUGGAAAACAGUUUGACAUUACCUGCUACAGCUGAAAACAAACAUGUUCUAUAAACCAGGAAUUCUACCGUUAGAUAUUUAAUCCAUAAAAACUCAAAAGACAAAUGCACAAAGUUUACAGUUUUGUUUGUUUAAACAAAAAGAAAAAAAGGAAAACUGAAGCAAGUCAAAUGUUCUUCAGAAGUAGAAAGAACAUUUAAAUUGAAACAAAAUUUCACAAUGAACUGUGAUAGGGCAUUGAGUGAAUUACUACAGAGGAGGGGUGGGUAAACCAAAACCUACAGAGCAGUCAAAUGUUUUUAUAAAUAAAGUUUUAUUGGAGCACAAUCACAUCAAUUUGUUUAUGUAUUGUGUAUGGCUGCUUUCGUACUAUAAUAGAGUUGAGUAGGUGCAACAGAGACCGCAUGGCCUGCGAAGACUAAAAUAAUUACUAACUAGUCCUUUACAGAAAAAGUUUGCUGACUCAUAUUAAAGAUAAUUAAAAGGACUAAUAACAUUUUUUCAAAUCAACAUGAAUGAAUCUCAGAGUUAUUAUGAUUAUAUUGAAUAAUG
rnacentral:lncRNA from 1 species